CAACCUCAACUCAUAUGGGACUACCCCCUGAAUUUAAGCAUAUUAAUUAGGGGAGGAAAAGAAACUAACAAGGGAUUUUCUUAGUAGCGGCGAGCGAAAAAGAAAUCAGUUCAGCACUAAGUCACUUUGUCUAUAUGGCAAAUGUGAGAUGCAGUGUACGGAACAUCAACAUUCUAGUAUGAGAAGUUAACGAUUUAAGUCCUUCUUAAAUGAGGCCAUUUACCCAUAGAGGGUGCCAGGCCCGUAUAACGUUAAUGAUUACUAGAUGGUGUUUCCAAAGAGUCGUGUUGCUUGAUAGUGCAGCACUAAGUGGGUGGUAAACUCCAUCUAAAACUAAAUAUAACCAUGAGACCGAUAGUAAACAAGUACCGUGAGGGAAAGUUGAAAAGAACUCUGAAUAGAGAGUUAAAUAGUACGUGAAACUGCUUAGAGGUUAAGCCCGAUGAACCUGAAUAUCCGUUAUGGAAAAUUCAUCAUUAGAAUUGUAAUAUUUUAAACAAUAUUAUAAUAAUAGUGUGCAUUUUUUCCAUAUAAGGACAUUGUAAUCUAUUAGCAUAAAUAUUUAUCAUAAAAUUAUGUCUGAUUGCUUAUUUGAAUUAUAUGCUUGGCAUUUUAACAUAAAAUAAAAGAUAUAAAUUUGAUAAAGUGCUGAUAGAUUUAUAUGAUUACAGUGCGUUAAUUUUUCGGAAUUAUAUAAUGGCAUAAUUAUCAUUGAUAUUUGUGUUUAUUAUAUGCAUUUGUAUGAUUAACAAUGCGAAAGAUUCAGGAUACCUUCGGGACCCGUCAGCAACACGGACCAAGGAGUCUAACAUAUG
rnacentral:ncRNA from 1 species